CUAUCGAAAGGGAAGCCGGUUAAAAUUCCGGCGCCAGGAUAUGGAUGUUAGACGGCAACGUAAACGAACCAGGAGACGUCGGCGAGGGCCCUGGAAAGAGUUCUCUUUUCUUUCUUACAGUCUACCACCCUGAAAUCGAUUUAUUCGGAGCUAGGGUUCUAUGGCUGGUAGAGCUCGGCACUUCUGCCGAGUCCGGUGCGUCCUCGACGGCCCUUGAAAAUCCUGGGGAGCAAACAUUUCACGCCUGGUCGUACUGAUAACCGCAGCAGGUCUCCUAGGUUAACAGCCUCUAGUUGAUAGAAUAAUGUGGAUAAGGGAAUUCGGCAAAUUGGAUCCGUAACUUCGGGAUAAGGAUUGGCUCUAA
rnacentral:rRNA from 1 species